GAGCGCCGUAGCAAUACGGAGCGGCAGACGGGAGAGUAACACGUGGGAACGUGCCCUUCAGUUCGGAACAACCCAGGGAAACUUGGGCUAAUACCGGAUACGUCCAUAAGGAGAAAGAUUUAUCGCUGAAGGAUCGGCCCGCGUCUGAUUAGCUAGUUGGUGAGGUAACGGCUCACCAAGGCGACGAUCCGUAGCUGGUCUGAGAGGAUGAUCAGCCACACUGGGACUGAGACACGGCCCAGACUCCUACGGGAGGCAGCAGUGGGGAAUAUUGGACAAUGGGGGCAACCCUGAUCCAGCAAUGCCGCGUGAGUGAUGAAGGCCUUAGGGUUGUAAAGCUCUUUCGCCCGCGACGAUGAUGACGGUAGCGGGAGAAGAAGCCCCGGCUAACUUCGUG
rnacentral:rRNA from 1 species